rnacentral:tRNA from 1 species
GAUUAGCUCAAUUGGUUAGAGCAUGGUGCUGAUAAGACCAAGGCCACGGGUUCGAUCCCCAUUCA